rnacentral:rRNA from 1 species
AUGGUAUGGAGCUUUGUUUGGAAGUGGCGCUCCGAGGAUGAGGUCGAUUCGAUGCUCAAUGCCUCGUAG